GUGGAUUAGAUACCCUAGUAGUCCACGCCGUAAACGAUGAUAACUAGCUGUCCGGGGACUUGGUCUUUGGGUGGCGCAGCUAACGCAUUAAGUUAUCCGCCUGGGGAGUACGGCCGCAAGGUUAAAACUCAAAUGAAUUGACGGGGGCCUGCACAAGCGGUGGAGCAUGUGGUUUAAUUCGAAGCAACGCGCAGAACCUUACCAGCGUUUGACAUGUCCGGACGAUUUCCAGAGAUGGAUUUCUUCCCUUCGGGGACUGGAACACAGGUGCUGCAUGGCCGUCGCCAACU
rnacentral:rRNA from 1 species